AAGAGGAUCAAAGCCUCAGCCUCUACUCUUCAUCUUCACAUCCGAACCGACAUCGUUCCAACCUAAAAUAAAACGCUAUCCGGAACUCGGUAAGCGAUAUGCCCAUCAUCCGAACACUCAUCCUUGUAGCUCCGAUUCCUCUAGCUACAGCCGCGAAGGCUAAGGAGUCGCGCUCAUAGACCGAGCGCGCACCUUGAGUACAAAUGUAGCAACAUGUCACCCACACGUGAAAAUUAACUGUAAACUCUUGAAUAGUAGGGCAAGCGCAUUAAUCAGCACAAGCACCGUGGAAGGAGUUCUACGGUUGUCUGGCCGCUGCCACGCCAUGAAGAAUCAUGACAUGACGGUUCCUCUGCGCACGAAAUCCGCCCGACCGUCCCACCAUCGAGACGCCCUCGAAUAUGACAUCGUGCCACGGUGACCCUCGCAGUGCAAUCAAACCCACAAACAAAACACGCCAAACAAGACACACCCUACAAUGCGAACCACCACCUGCCCCCAAAUACACGCCCACGGAAAAAAAUAAAAAAAUAAAUAAAUAAAUAAAAACCUUAAAGUCACGUCCUGGCGAACGUCGCCACACAAACUGCGUAGAGGCCUUCGAGCGCAGGACACAAACCCUGCAAUCGUUCUGAGGCGUGGGAUUCAGUCAGUGCGGGACACCAUAUAUAGGGUUUCGACAUGGGCGAGCCUUCCCCCGGAGAGCUCGCUGCAAUUAGGGUUUUCCAAGGUUACGGCCAUGUUUACUCGCUGGGCCGGCGUAGGGUCGGAGUUCGUCCCUGCGGGUGUGGUGUGGGGCCGGAGGGGAGCUGCUGGGUGGAUCUUCCAGUGAAACCGCACAACAGUGAAAAUUAUUUUAUUGGUUCUGGGAUGAAGGGCGUCAUCCUUCGUCUUCUCGGGCAGUUUCUGGGGCAGAAGUAGGCUCGUGCUCACGAAACUAACCUGCUCUGGCAGUUGUACCCUGCAUUUUGUCCAAAAUCAUUUCAACUUACCCGGGCAGAUUGAAAUUGUAUCCUGGGUUGUUGCCCCUGCUUAUGUCCUCUUUGGCUCUUUUCUCCAUCAUGGCUUUUUUGCCCUUGCUUCCGAGAGCGCGAUUUCACUGCCAUCACUUUGGUCAUUUGUUCAAGGCUAUUUUUUUUGUGGUUGAACGUGACCGGAAGAGCUUGAAGGCGCGGCGGAAUCGAUUGACCGCAAAUAUAUGUCGUGAUUGUUUCCAGUUUUGUUGGGUGAAAAGUUUACAAGCGUAGACCCUAUUAGAUAGAGUCCUGAGGAUGUUGACUUUUGUUAACCAGAGACUCCUUCAUUGUCACCCGGUGCAGCUGCACCUCAAUUUGCUUGGCUAUCCCAGUCGAAACUGUUGCUGCUGCAGAAGAAUCGGAUUUUUUUUCUGAAGUAGCUGCCUCCUCGGUCGUCUAGGCAGCUGAUCCUGCGGAGUCAGCCGUCCUAUUCAAUGCAGCAGAUGCAAUCGGUUCUUCAAAAUUAGUCUCUGCCGAAGACGUUUUAACUGCUCUUUUAGCAGUUUUUCUUGCUGCUUCCACGGUAUUCCCAGCCAAGGGCGCUGCCACAUCAAGAUUUUUCCCUCCAGACCCAAGUUGCCCAGCAAGAGACGGAGCGAUAUCCAGUACCAUCUAUGGCUUAAUCCAGGCAGAGGAAUUUUUGUGGAGAGAUCACACUAAAUCAGCCUGUUUCUGUUGCUGCCUUGACUUUGACAUGUCUGUGGUCUGGGUUAAUUGCAAUCCAUGUGACGUUGAAAGUUAUUAAUUUAAAGAGUUCGGUUGUGACCAAGUUGGUUACAUGAUUUGAAAAGCUACAAUAAAAAUUAUAUUGCUUCAUACAAACACUUUGUGUGCCAUGUAUGAGUAGA